ACUAACCCACUUAUGCUACGACUUUGUCCUAGAACCGACCGCGCUCUGAUACCAACUUGUAGCACCAUAACCCGGAUUUCCGUUUUGAACUAACACUUAGUCAAAUUUUCAUCUGAGUUUUUACUUAGCAUUUUUCGCAUUAGGUUCGUUUAGACAAUUUUAGCCGUGCAUAAGUAGAUUAAAAACAGAAUACUUGAAUUAAAUCGAGGUUCUCAGUACAAUGAUCGUUCGCAUAUAAGCUAUUACAUUGACUAAGACCUUAACUACCCGAUCCUACCAUCCAUCCCGAUCCAGCCAUAGUCCGCGCGCUGAUCAGACCUCUGUACCUGCAUCCACAAAGGAGGCAUAAGCAAACAGAAUGCUUAGUGAGAGCGGUCAUCCCGUCUCACCGAGCCAAAGUAAAAUUGCAUCUAACAAAGAUCGAGCUCAAUGCUCAUCAGAAACAGAAAACUACCCGCGAUGAUCAUACGCGCUUACCCGGCCGAUCAUCCAACGACCAGACAAGCCUCGACGGGCAUCACAGCCGCGAUCGCCUUGCCUGAUCUAGAUCGUCGGUAAGGCGGAUCAAUCACACGGCAUAGCCAGCAGAAAUGUCAUGACAAGCACAGAAUAACACGCAACCGACCAGAAUCUAAGCAAGAAUACGACCAACAGGCCACGGUCACGCACUCACUUAGCUUUUAUCGGACAGAAUUCGGUAAGGACAGAGUUCGCGAUUGAUCAGACUCGUUCCCACAAUCGCUCUGCAGAAUCUGGACCACGCUCGACA
rnacentral:lncRNA from 1 species